CUUCUCUCCCCAACCCAUGAUCUGGUUGGAACGGAUGUAGGCUGCAGAAAGAGGGAUUUAAAUGAACCCAUAUACUGAUUGCUCCAAAGCCUUUCAGGUGUGUGUGUUUCCUCUGCAGCUACAGAGCAAAUGAUCAAUUGUUGCUUAUCUAGGUCAGUGGUUCUAAACCUGAGGGUCUUGUCCUCUUGGAGCGGUCACAAGAGAACUCUUAAGAGGGUGACACAGAUGUAUCUCAGAGAGGGAAGAAUCACUCUUUAGUGGAACUCAUUGAUGCAGUACAUGAUGUGAAGACGGGCACCUUGCAAGUAGACAUCACUUCAUUUUAGGGAGAUGUGAGGCAAACAGUUUGAGAACCACUGAUGUAGAUAAAUCACCACGUCCUUGGUGAUGCGUCCAUAGGUGUUGACGUAAACGCCCUCGUCCUCGUAGCACACCAGCAGCUCGAUGCCGUCCGUGUUGGGCAGGAUGAUGAUGGCGUGAGACUGGAUAUGGGUCUGGA